rnacentral:tRNA from 1 species
AGCGGGGUGGAGAAGUAGUAUCUUGUCAGGCUCAUAACCUGAAGACCCAGGUGCAAUUCCUGGCCCCGCAA